UGGGUUUCUGGGACAGUAGGUGCUGCUGGUGGUGGAGGAGGUGCAGCAUCCCCUGGGGUAGGGUUUGUUGUACCUGGGUAGAAGGACGGGGGUGGGUACAUAGGGUACUGUGGGUAUGGUGGGUAGAAAGGUGGGUAUGGCAUGUGGGAGUGGUAAGGGUUAAAGCUGGGGUAAUCCGAUGUUCGAAUGCCCGGGAUUCUGAGAAAAGGGUGGGUACUGGGGUGGCUGAACAAAUCCCGAGGCCUGAGUGCCUCCUUGGGACUCUCCCAUACCCUCUUCCGACAUACUCACUCCAAGACUGCCAUCCCUCCUCUGAUCUACAUCCAUAUCAUCCCCCACAUCCUCUGACAUUCCUCCCUGAACUGUUCCCCUUACUGAUCUGCUUCUGUUCAUAUCCAAAGACCUUCUAGGGUCUCUCACUGCUCUUUCCCUGC
rnacentral:lncRNA from 1 species